CUACAAACAUUGAUUUACCCAUAGGCCAUAGCAGCGAAGCGACGAGGAAGUUAAUCCGAAAUGAGAUCCAUUUCGAAACCUCUGAAGUUGUUAAGCAGACUCAGUUUCCACAAACUCCAUUCAGAGACUUCGUUUAACUCAACACCCAAACACACCACCACCACCAACAUCGUUACCUUAUUAUGCAAUUCAUUCAGAAUGAAACAGAAUUGGGACACCCUUACCCACAAAUUCAGUUCCAUCAAAUUAAACCAUUCAUUAGUUGAACAAGUCUUGUUAGAGCUAAAACACCCGACCGACGCAAAAAACGCAUUAAGUUUCUUCCACUGGUCCUCCAAGACGCACAGUUUUCAACACGGACUUCGCUCUUACUCCAUAACCAUCCACCUUUUACUCCAAGCUGGUUUAAUCACCGACGCUAAUGCAUUACUCGAAUCCCUCGUAAACAAACACACCAAAACCCAUACAGUUCGUGCGAUUAUUGAUUCAUUUAUAAACACCUCUGAGUCUGUCUCCGGUUCUCACCUUCCGGUUUUCGAUCUUCUCGUUAAAGCCUAUGCUAAAGCUAGAUUAACGGACGUUGCUUUCGCCGUUUGCCGUUGCGUCGAGGAGUGUGGCUUUUGCGUUAGUUUAUCAAGUUUCAAUGCUCUGCUUUAUGUUGCUCAGAAGGGUAACCGUUUUUCCACCGUUUGGGACGUUUACGGUUACAUGAUUGGGAAAAGAAUUUACCCUAAUGUAGUUACAUUGAGGAUUAUGAUUGAUGCUCUUUGUAAAGAGGGAUUGUUACAAAGGAAUGUGGAUGCCCUGGAUCAAAUUAUCGGUAAGCGAAAUUCGCAUUCUCCUUCGGUUAUUGUUAAUUUGAGUUUGAUAUUGAGAAUGUUAGAAAAGGGAAAUGUGGAAGAAGAAGAUGUUGAUAAUGAGUUAGUUAAGUUAGUUACACUGUUGAAGAGAUUGUUACAGAAGAAUUUGAUUGGUGAUUCUGUUGCUUACUCUUUGAUUGUUCAUGUUAAAAUUAGGUUAGGGAAUUUGGAUUCUGCUUUGGAGAUAUAUGAGGAGAUGGUGAGAAGAGGUUUUAAUGAAAAUUCCUUUGUUCACACGUCGUUUAUACGAGUGUUUUGUGGGAAGGGACGAAUUGAUAAAGCAAUUGAAUUGAUGAAGGAAAUGGAAGCGAAGGGGUUAAGGCCUUAUGGUGAGACUUUUGAAUGUGUUAUCGUUGGAUGCGCGGAUUCGGGACGGUUGAAAGAUUGUUCAAGUUAUUUCGAGGAAAUGUUGUGUGCUGGGUUUGUUCCUAGUUGUUCGUCGUUUGAUAAGAUGGUUGCGAAGCUUUGUGAGAAUGGGGAUGUGGAGAAGGCAAAUGAUUUUUUGACUGUGUUAUUAGAUAAAGGGUUUUUGCCGAGUGAUGAGACUUAUUCUCAUCUGAUUUAUGGUUAUGCUAUAAAGGACGAGGUUCAAGAAGUUCUCAAGAUAUAUUAUGAAAUGGAGUAUAAGUCUAUGUGUCCUGGAUUGUCUGUUUAUUCAUCGAUGAUUAAGUGUUUGUGCCGUUUUGGAAAGCUUGAAGAUUCGGAGAAGUAUUUAAGGAUUAUGAAAGGUCGAUCAUUGGUUCCAAAUGUUAAUAUAUAUGAGACGUUGAUCGCUUGUCACGUGCAGAAGGGAAACAAUGAUAGGGCUCUUCAGCUUCGCAAUGAAAUGGCCUCAUUGGAGUCGCAACAUAGUUAGUGUUCCCAAAAGAGGUGAAGAUAGGAAACCUUUCAGAAGGUGCUCUCGUAAGUGUUGUAUGCGUCAGAGAUGAUUUAUGUUUGAAAACUUGGCUUUGGAUUAUACAUUUUGUAUAGAUCAAGAAAGGAGGUUCAGAGGCGUUGAACAUAUUGAGUUUGCAACAGCAGAAGAAGCAUAAAAAGCAAGCUUUUGCAACCUUCUUAAUAUAUCAUUUUAGAACUGACUGCAAGCAUUACCAAGAAGUUAUAUCAGUGGAAGCAAAGCAAUAAUGCCAUAUAUAUACUUCUCGGACACAUUUGAGUUUCCACUUCUUCCAAAAUGUGGCCUACUACAAAGACUUUGCUCUCAUACUAAUGAUUCUGAGAGUGUUUCUCUAGAGCUUCAUGAUAUGCGUGGUGGCUCAGAUGCUUUUGAACUCUGUGCUAAGUUCUGCUAUGGAGUUUCAAUCAACAUUAGUGCUCAUAAUUUUGUACCUGCACUCUGUAGCUUCUCCAAAUGAAUGAGUCUAUUGAGAGGGGAAACUUUGUAGGUAAGCUUGAGUCUUUCUUCAGUUCAUGCAUUCUAGAAGGUUGGAAAGACUCCAUUUCUACACUGCAUGGCACUGAUAAGUUACCAGAAUGGUCUGAGAAUCUUGGCAUAAUAAGAAAAUGCAUUGAUUCAAUUAUUGAAAAAGUUCUUACACCUCCAUCACAGGUUAAUAAUCAAUACCAUAAAUUCCUCACAUAAGAUUUGAUACUCAGCUAUGAAGCACCGACACAGACACCGGUAAUAAUUUCAAAAAUAAAAGUGAUUAAAUGUUAUAACAUGUGUCAGUGUCGUGUCAGUGUCAGACAAUGCAUGUGUUGGAUGUUAGACACGCUUUCAAUCCAAGGUGUCGGGGCUACAUAGAUAGACAUUUUUUACUUAACAAUGAUGAUUAU